ACUCCCAGCACACCCAUUUUCAGAGAGCUCAGCCUAGAAACAGUCUUUGCUCCUUGUGACAGUCACAACUGUAUAAUUUCCAAAAACGUGUUAGAGCAAAGUCUUUUCAAUUCACAAUUUUCACUUCACCUCCCCUCCCCCAUAUUCUCCUUUGCCUCUUCAGCUUCUCUCCAUGAUGAAAGAUUCCGAUUUGUCUUCCCUUAUUCGACUCAACAUUGGAGGGAAGAAAUUUUGUACGACUAUUGAUACAUUGACCUGCCGUGAGCCUGAGUCCAUGCUGGCAGCUAUGUUUAGUGGUCGCCAUACGUUGUGUCAGGACUCUGAGAAGGGAUAUGUCUUUGUUGAUAGGGAUGGAAAGCAUUUUCGGCAUAUUCUAAACUGGUUAAGGGAUGGUGUUGUUCCCACAUUGACAGAUUCUGGAUAUUCAGAGCUCAUAAGGGAGGCAGAAUAUUACCAGCUACUUGGACUAAUAGAAGGAAUCAGUUCUGUUUUAAAUAAGAGGAAGGAAGAUGAUGACUUGGGUGCUGAAUUGACACGUACUGAUAUCAUCAAGUGCAUACAGUCUGAAAGAGUUAGAUUUCGGGGAGUUAACCUUUCGGGCCUUGAUCUCUCUAAAUUGGAUCUUUCAUUUGUGGAUUUCAGCUUUGCCUGUCUUAAAAGUGUUUUCUUCUCACGUGCAAAUCUUCAGUGUGCAAAAUUUCGGGAUGUAGAUGCUGAGGGUUCUAUUUUUCACAAUGCAACUUUGCGUGAGUGUGAAUUUACUGGGGCAAAUCUUCGUGGGGCUUUACUAGCUGGUGCUAAUCUUCAGAGUGCAAAUCUUCAAGAUGCCUGUUUGAUAGAUUGUAGCUUCUGUGGGGCAGAUCUUCGUUCUGCACACUUACAGACUGCUGAUCUCACGAAUGCCAACUUAGAGGGAGCUAAUCUUGAAGGAGCCAAUUUGAAGGUAGACAGAUGCUUAAGGAUGGUGUUUCCAUAUCAAUUGCUUUGGGUGCAAAAUUAAAUAAUGCCAAUCUGAAGGGUGCAAACCUCCAACGAGCUUAUUUACGACAUGUUAAUCUUCGAGAUACACAUUUGGAAGGUGCUAAGCUUGAUGGUGCUAACUUGCUUGGAGCAAUCAGGUGAUGAUGUAGAAAGCUUGUAUAUAUACAUAUAUAUAUAUA